GCAUUUACUUUAAAAACCAUAAUAAAUGUGAAAACAUUUGUUUCAUAAACUUCUGUUCAAAAAGUCAAUAUGUUUAUUUUUCCUUAAAAGAGAGUGGUAAAACUGAGAGUUAUAAAAUUAUCAGAUGCCACCUGUAUAUUGAGACAUGUUCAUCAUGCACUUGUUCCUCAGCUCUGUGUCAUGAGUAAUAGAAGUUUAACAAUUGUGAUUUUUAAAAGUUAUAUCUACAACAUAAAUCUUAUAUAAGUACUCCUAGAAUCAGCUUGCUCAUUUGUAAAAUAGUAACAACAAUAAAUUUUUCUUGCCUUUGGUAAAAAACAACUGCUGUAAAAUUUGUGUCUAAGAAAGCCUGUGCCUUUGAUUAAGAGAGUCCUUAGAAGUGUUGACAGUUGCUUGACAAGGGGAUAGACUAGGGACAAGAAACUAGUAGAUUCUGUGGUGCUUUUUUUCAUGGAAGUGAGGUUGGCCUCAGGAGAAGGUGACCUAGUGCUUCAUGUUGGGUCAUAAUGGUCCUGGCUCUAGAGACAGCAUUCUAAAUGUUGAGUAAUUGUGUUUUUGAUGUUGUAGUUUGUAAGAAAAGUCCAGUAGGCUGAUGGAACAGAAGCUGGUGGCUUCCAUCACCCCAGAGAGUUCCAGCAUGUAUAACAAAGGAAGAUUUGAAGACAGUUCCAGCUCUCAAUUUAUGGCAACAUCAAUUAAAAUUAUCAGUGUAAUUCCAA